GCAAAAAUAGCUCAGUGGCAGAGCGUGAUUAUUCCAAGAAUAGUUCAAGGCAUGGGUUCGAUUCCCAAUUUUGCU
rnacentral:tRNA from 1 species